rnacentral:rRNA from 1 species
AACGAACGCUGGCGGCAUGCCUAACACAUGCAAGUCGAACGAGACCUUCGGGUCUAGUGGCGCACGGGUGCGUAACGCGUGGGAACCUGCCCUUAGGUUCGGAAUAACUCCCCGAAAGGGGUGCUAAUACCGGAUAAUGUCUUCGGCCCAAAGAUUUAUCGCCUUUGGAUGGGCCCGCGUUGGAUUAGCUCGUUGGUAGGGUAAAAGCUUACUAAGGCGACGAUCCAUAGCUGGUCUGAGAGGAUGAUCAGCCACACUGGGACUGAGACACGGCCCAGACUCCUACGGGAGGCAGCAGUGGGGAAUAUUGGACAAUGGGCGAAAGCCUGAUCCAGCAAUGCCGCGUGAGUGAUGAAGGCCUUAGGGUUGUAAAGCUCUUUUACCCGGGAUGAUAAUGACAGUACCGGGAGAAUAAGCUCCGGCUAACUCCGUG